AAUAACUUCUACCUCUCCAGCUUAGGGAAAACCAAAAACCCCUCGCCAGCACCCCGCAAUCUCUCACCUCCGGCCUCGUCUUCGACUCCGUCCACUACGACGAUUGCUCUCUUUGAUUUCUUAAGAUCUCUCUCUCUCUCUCUCUCUCUCUCUCUCUCUCUCUCUAUUUGAAUUAAGUGAUUCUACUUUUAAUUUCUUGGAAUAUCUUUGAGCCCGAGUCUAGGGUUCUGAGCUUAAUUUGUUCGCAGAUUUAGGAUUUUUCCUUUCAUAUUGUGGUUUUCUGUUUUUGGUGAGGACGGCUUAACCCAGAUCUAGAUCUUGUGUCAGUAGUGUUUUGUUGCUUAUAUGGUUUCUGGGUCCAAUUGUGGUUUGGGUUUUCAAAUUUUGAUGUUAGACUUGUGCAAAAUUUUAACAAAUCUGGAAUUGAAAGUUGGGUUUCUGUGAAAAUUGGAUUAGAAUUUUGUAUUUUGGUUAUAAUUUGUUUGUUUGGACUCAUAAUCUUGUAAAUUACGGGUCAUUUAGAUUUUUGAUUUCUAAAAUUUGAAAAGAAUUUUGCAGAAUUAACGUCAGGGAAAGGUGCAAAGGGGCUUUUGGCUCAGAAGACCACAGCAGCUAACAAGCAUAAGGACAAGGAUAUUUAGAAAGGCUUUUCUUCUUGUUCACAUAAUCCGGUGGUUUGGAGGCUCCUUCGUGAGAAUUGCUGAAUAUGUCAAGAGGAAAAGGGAGCAGUAUGUAAACUAUAACAUUCUUCCAUUAUAGACUGUUGGGGUUAAACCGGCAAUUAUGGAACUUCCUGAGAUCAAAGCAGCGCUCCGUGCUCUACAGAAUGUGAAUAAUCUUCCCAUGCCAAGAAUGCAAUUUUAACCCACGAAUCCUGAUGACAAGUCGACAAUGUCUAUAGAGAGGAUUAAACCUGUAAAUGAUUACUCGAUUGGCUUUCGGCUAAUUUUGGGUUUCAGGUGUAUCCAGAAGGGAAAAUGAGCUGGCAUUUUGCAAGUUUAAAACCAUGAGAUGUAGUCGAAGUGAAGGGGCCCAUUGAAAAGCUGAAAUAUGUUCCCAACAUGAAGAAGCAUAUUAGCAUGCUUGUUUACCAACUCUGGCCACAAUACCAAUCUGGAUAAGUCUAUACCAAGCUCACUACUACAGAAAACUAAAUUUGGGACACAUGGGUUUUGGAUACAAGGACAUCCUUUUAAAAAUGCGUCCUUGUAUUGUUGUUAGGACGUUUCAGUUUUUUCCAAAACACGGAGAAGCAGCAAAUGGACACCUACACAGUUAAACACGGACCCAAUUAAGACAAAGGCACCUAUAAAUUUGAUAUAAGGUCACAGGUUCGAUUCGCUUGAACCCAAACAUAGAGAAAAAUAAUAUCGAGGUAUAAAUAUAAGUCUCCCAAAUGGCCCAAGCCACAGCACUUUGCAGCAAAAUUGAAAAAAGAAAACCCUAAAAUUUCACUUUCCCGGGUUCUCCAAAUUUUCCCUCUCGAGUUUCAGCUUCCCACCAUGGAAUCUCGCCAAAUUCACUUUAGAAUUCACCCCGUUCAUUUACUCAGAUCUAGGUAUCGUCACCUUGAGCAGAAAAGAAAAAGAAACUGAGUUUUAUAGAUGUGCUCUGAUGCUCAAUCACCCAUUGCGCAUCACUGACUUCGAUCUAUAGCUUUUCUUCCUUGCAUAGUCUUCUUCUGCUGUUCUUAAGUGCUUAUGGAAGAUAGGCUGUCUCUGAUUCCAGUAUGCUCAUAUAGUUCUCUACUCUUAAAGUGAUACAUAUAGUUCAUUGGAUCCCCAAGUACCGUUCCUUCCCUCGGUCGAAGUUUCAGUGAAGGCUUUACUUGGUAUAUCAUCAGGCAUCAGCAGCUCUACCUGCAGCUCCAAGUGCAUCAAUGCGAAUUUUAUUCCGUGGACAUCAUCCAUAGUGAGUUGGAACUGCAAAAAGAGAUCUGGUUUGGAGGGAUGAUCUCAGCAUAUGAAGACCAAUGCUGUGAUAAGGGUUCUCUCAUGCAAUGUAAUUUGGAAUCAAGGAAAGAAUGGCAUUCCUGUUUAGAGGUCAUUAAUGUAAGCAUCAUUGAGCCAUUGAAGCAGGCUCAAGGCGUUUCUUGGCUGAUAUACCUUAUUUAUAAUGUUCAGAGUCCUUUAAUCAUGGAGUAUGAAGCUCUGGGUUAAAUGUGAGCAUCAUUAUGUGUAUAACUUCUCUGUGAAUAAUUGCAUUUUGUAAUAUCAGAAUAUUUCCCCCAUAUUCUAGUUCUCUUAAUUUCAUACCAAGGAUCAGUCGAUGCUAAAGUUGCUGAAGAGUCAACAUUUAAAACAAGGACCAACGAGGGGAACUGUUGUGUGCAGACCAUAUGGUUACAGGAUAAACUACCACGGCCAGGCGGCAAUGAUGAAAAUUGACAAAGAAAAUAGUAAUCCUGACAUCAGGAUUAAAGCUUCACAUUGUGUCACCAGAUUGUAACCUAUAUAAUAAUGGAUGGAGACUUGGUUUGCCCUGCAAAGAUGGGAAGAUCUGUAGAGGUACUUCUACCCAUUAAAAACUAAAAAGACAUGCUAAGUAGCAGCUUGAGUUUCUUCAGGUGUUUCCACUUUGUCAUCAGUCUAUUUACAUGUUCCACGCACAUGAUGCUCCUCUAGGUGUAGGAAUUUGAAUUAGUACGUUGCUUCAUGCUAUGAAUAGAUUACAUAAGAUUAGAACAUAUAACUAGGAAUUAGUUGCUAGAAUGUGCUUGUAGUCAAGUAUAUUGUAACGAGUAAUAGAUACAAUGACAUUUGUUUUGGGAUUGUAAGGAUGAUUUUUAUG